rnacentral:rRNA from 1 species
GACGUAGGGGGCGAGCGUUGUCCGGAUUUAUUGGGCGUAAAGCGCGCGUAGGCGGCUUUGCAAGUCGGGUGUGAAAUCCCCAGGCUUAACCUGGGAACUGCAUUCGAGACUGCAUUGCUAGAGUAUGGGAGAGGGAAGUGGAAUUUCCGGUGUAGCGGUGAAAUGCGUAGAUAUGGAAGGAACAUCAGUGGCGAAAGCGACUUCCUGGACCAAUACUGACGCUCAUGUGCGAAAGCGUGGGGAGCAAACAGGGAU